rnacentral:rRNA from 1 species
GAUGAACGCUAGCGGGAGGCCUAACACAUGCAAGCCGAGCGGUAUUUGUUCUUCGGAACAGAGAGAGCGGCGCACGGGUGCGGAACACGUGUGCAACCUGCCUUUAUCUGGGGGAUAGCCUUUCGAAAGGAAGAUUAAUACCCCAUAAUAUAUUGAGUGGCAUCAUUUGAUAUUGAAAACUCCGGUGGAUAGAGAUGGGCACGCGCAAGAUUAGAUAGUUGGUGAGGUAACGGCUCACCAAGUCAAUGAUCUUUAGGGGGCCUGGGAGGGUGAUCCCCCACACUGGUACUGAGACACGGACCAGACUCCUACGGGAGGCAGCAGUGAGGAAUAUUGGACAAUGGGUUAGCGCCUGAUCCAGCCAUCCCGCGUGAAGGACGACGGCCCUAUGGGUUGUAAACUUCUUUUGUAUAGGGAUAAACCUACUCUCGUGAGAGUAGCUGAAGGUACUAUACGAAUAAGCACCGGCUAACUCCGUG